GCGCGAAAACUCCACAAUGCACGCAAGUGCGAUGGGGUCACUUCGAGUGCCGCCUGAAGAAGGUGGCUUUUCCACAGUUUAGCGAGCUGUGGGAAUAAGAGGGGGGCAAGACUGGUGUCAGCCGCCGCGGUAACACCAGCCCCUCGAGUGGUGGGGACGUUUAUUUGGCCUAAAGCGUCCGUAGCCGGCUAUGUAAGUCCCUCGUUAAAUCUAGCGUCCUAAGCGCUAGCUCGCGAGGGAUACUGCAAAGCUAGAGGGUGGGAGAGGUUAGCGGUAUUUCCGGGGUAGGGGCGAAAUCCUUUGAUCCCGGGAGGACCACCAGUGGCGAAGGCUGCUGACUAGAACACGCCUGACGGUGAGGGACGAAAGCUGGGGGAGCGAAUCGGAUUAGAUACCCGAGUAGUCCCAGCUGUAAACGAUGCAGGCUAGGUGUUGGAGCGGCCAUGUGCCGCUCCAGUGCCGCAGGGA
rnacentral:rRNA from 1 species